rnacentral:rRNA from 1 species
GAUGAACGCUGGCGGCGUGCCUAAUACAUGCAAGUCGAACGAGGAGUACUUACUUCGGUUUUUACUCCUAGUGGCGAACGGGUGAGUAACGCGUUGGUGACCUGCCCCGAAGCGGGGGACAACAGUUCGAAAGAACUGCUAAUACCCCAUGUGGUCUUACUGGUUAGAGGCUGUAUGACUAAAGGAGUAAUCCACUUCGGGAGGGGCCUGCGUCCCAUCAGCUAGUUGGUAAGGUAACGGCCUACCAAGGCAAAGACGGGUAGGGGGCCUGAGAGGGUGGCCCCCCACACUGGCACUGAAACACGGGCCAGACACCUACGGGUGGCAGCAGUAGGGAAUAUUGCACAAUGGGCGAAAGCCUGAUGCAGCAACGCCGCGUGCGCGAAGAAGGCCUUCGGGUCGUAAAGCGCUUUUCUGGAGGAAGAGGAA